GGAGCUGUGGCUCAGUGGUAGAGCGCUCACCUUGGCAUGUGUGAGGCCCUGGGUUUGAUCCUCAGCACCA
rnacentral:tRNA from 1 species